GGCGGGACGGGGUGGAGUAAUGUCUGGGAAACUGCCCGAUGGAGGGGGAUAACUACUGGAAACGGUAGCUAAUACCGCAUAACGUCGCAAGACCAAGAGGGGACCUUCGGGCCUCUUGCCAUCGGAUGUGCCCAGAUGGGAUUAGCUAGUAGGUGGGGUAACGGCUCACCUAGGCGACGAUCCCUAGCUGGUCUGAGAGGAUGACCAGCCACACUGGAACUGAGACACGGUCCAG
rnacentral:rRNA from 1 species